UUCCGAGCAAGCACGCCGCAGGAAUUUGCACCGAUGGUGAUCCAUCACUCUUAGCCCAGUUCCAUUUGCGGCGAUUGUGCUCAAGCGGCCGUCUCCCCGACACAAAUUGCUGGGAGUAAGCUGUGCGCCUCUGUUGGUAGGGAGCGCCGACAACCUGCUCGCUGGAAUGCCUCGCCGAAUGGUCAUGGCUCAUAAGGGAUUUUGGGGCAAGGGGGCCUGGCUGCUACGGCCGUUGCUACUUCGCAGGCACCAACGGGACAAGCUACGGCCUGUGGCAUCGCACUGGGAGUUCGCUGCUUCAGUGCUUCUACUACUUCAAACACAAGGAAUGCCCUCCUCUGGGUGUGGACAAACCAAGCCCAUGACCCGAACAGAUCGCUCGCUUUUCGCAGAAGCAAGGGUUUGGAGGUCCCUUCGAACAUGUUGUACUUUCUCCUUUACCUUUUCCUUUUGUUGAACUUCUUUCUGUAUGCGCACCAGCUAUUAUUUUUCAGUUGUGGAGUUAACGUGGUACA